UGGAGGAAGAAAUGAAAGUGCAGGGGAGGAUGGUGUAGAGAGAAUGAGCUUCCCCCUUUUGUAUCUAAAUAAUUGCUGAGGAAAUGGCCACUCUCGGCCAAAUUCCCAAAGGACAGUCACUGGUGGCCCAGCAAGAGACGCUUCCAGGAUCCCCUGAAUUUGGAAGAACCUACCCCCCGUCUGACUUAGGGACCGCCCAAACUCUGUGACACCCAGAACUCUGGCCCUGGAGCAGCAGGAGGGGAGGGUCAGCGGAGGGCCGUGCCAGGGCUGCAGGCCUCCCCAGGGUCCAGGGCAGUAGAGGGCAUGGCAGAGGUCUCCUCCACUACCAGAGCACGCCGCAGCCUUGGUUCUGGCCCUGCCUUUUCUGAGCCUGUUCUGUGGCUAUUGAGCUGAACGAGACAGACUCUGGGCUCCCAGCUUCUAGGUCACUGGGGACUCUCAUAAAUACUUUCUCCUCCCCUCCUGGAAAGAGGAGGCUGGGCAGGCCGGAUCCGCUCUGGGGCCUGCGCCUUAUCUUUUAGGGGCUGGGGGGAUAUCUCCACACUUUAUGGUCCAGCGGAAACCCUGCCACAGAGCUAGUCUUCCGGGCCUUUGUGUCCUGGAAUGCGACUGUCCCGAGUGUGCUGCCAGCACCGUCUGCUCCGAGAGCCCACCAGUCCCGAAAUCCCUGGUUGGACUUGGUUUCCCCUUUCGGGAUGGAGCGGGGGGCGUCCCUCGCCUUUUCUUUCUUUCGUUCAUUUGAUUGUUUUUUUUCUUUUACACGUAUCUGGUUGAUUUCGCUCCGGGAGCCUGGAAAUAAAGGAACCGCAAGCAGCCAUCCUUGCUGGGGCGUCUCUGUCCCUCGACCCCCAUCCUUGCUGGGGCGUCUCUGUCCCUCGCCCCGAGGCCUGCACCGCCCUCCUAGGUGAGAGGAUUGAUUUGCUCAGAGCCAGAGGGGCCGGGCUGGGCCGGGGCGCCGGGCCUUCUCGUCGCUGCUCCUCGGGGCCGGGCCUCAAACGUCAGUGCGGCCAGGCCGGCCGGGGGCACCGCCGCCGCCUCUAACAUUGAGCAACAGCGCCACCUCGCGUCCACUUACUCCAAUGCAGUCCGGCCGGGAAAAAGCCAACUGCUUAGAGCAAGCAGGUCCCCAGGCUUGACCCAAAGGUGGGAGGUGGGAGGAAGGAGUUUCCAAAUGGGUGCGCGUGAGAGGGGUCCCCGGAAGGGAUUUCCCUCUGGACC
rnacentral:lncRNA from 1 species